AUCACAUUCGUUGCCACGCACCUCUAGAUUUUUCUUCCUCUUCUUCUCUUUCAAUUUCUCUCAUCAAAGUUUCGACCUUUGCUAAAAUUCAAUCAUGGGGAACGCCCUGAGAUUCCUCUACAGCCAUUGCUGCAAGCCCACACCAGCUGGCCACAGUGUUUCCUCUGCCACCGUUUCUGUUUCAGCACUUGCCCAUGAUCUCUUUCGCUUUGACAUCACCUCCCAGGUCCCGGAAGGACUCAGCAAGCAUGUUGUUUCUUCUAAGAAGGCUCAGGCUAAUUGGUGUUUUUAUAUGACCGUCGUUGUAAGUUUAAGACGGUUUUCACCUCCUUCGAUUCCAACAGCCAAUGACUGAAGUUGAAGCAGGAAGAUUAGUUGGUGUGCGAGGAAUCCAUGAAGGGGUCAUGAGAAAGAGAAAGAGACAGGAAGCAAUAGUAUGAAGCGUGGACUUAAUAGAAGGAAGAGAAUGAGGCCAAAACCAGCUUUUAAGUGCAAGUUUGCAUGAUCUUCCCCUUUUUUCGUUGGUUUCGGAUCAGUUUAAAUAAGGUACAAGCAGGCAGAAAGCUUGUCCCAGCCACAUUAGGCAUAACAUUAGUAAGAGGUUAUCAAACAAUAGAUCCAGAUCUCUGCCUGCCUGGUGUUCGUAGCUUCAUUGAGCAACAAAUUACUCUUAUUGCCAAGGGUCAGGUGGAUCAUGGUCAUGUGGUGCAGCAUGUAAUCCAACAGUUCACACAGAAGUUUAGUUACUUUGUCAAAAAGGUCACAAUUUAUCUAGUAUUUCCCUGGCUUGGUUACAUCAUCUGCUUCGGUCUUAAUUGAAUCAGAUUGAACACAUGGAUGCAUUAUUUGAAGCACAGUUUUCUACGCUAACUGAUUCAGGGCGUAUUCUGAGCAAAUGUGGUAAAUGCUUGAGUUAUAUGAAGUACAUUUUUACUCAGCCAUCACGAUUGUAUUGUGGUACAUGUGAGGAGGUUUACUAUCUUCCACAGAAGGGCACAAUAAAGGUAUAGAAAGUUAGUUGAUGCUUGGAAAGAGGCAAAACCCCCUCCUAAGACACCUGAAGAAGCUGCUAGACUUGUCAUUCAGACCUUGAAAAGGCAUCAAAAGGCAGAUGUUGAGGUUUGCAUGGAUUUAUGGUCUUCCUCUACCACACACCCUUGUUCAAGGAACUGCCCAACCCCUUCAUCCUUCCCUAAUGGAGUUCAAUUUGAAAUGCACACAUUGCCGAUCCAAUAAAAGUGUGGAUGACCACUUUCUAUUAGUAGUAAGAUGAACAACCGGACAAACAAGCAUAAUGCAAGACGACAAAUCAUCAAACAUGAAAUUCAACCGAAAGAAGACUAUGUGCAAUCAAGUAAGAUCAUCCUCCUCAAGUUCUUUGGCUUUCAGUUUUUCCUUCACCCUCAAAAGAAGUGUUGUCUUCCAAGAAUCCUAUACAACAUUCACGCAAACAUGCAAUGUUGAUCAAAUACUGCUACAAAAGAUAUUUAUGGAAUGCAAAAAAGAAAAAUUGAUCAGAACAAGGAAUCUAAGUUGACAACCGUUCAUCACUCAGUUGAACAUAGUUACACAAAAAAUAAUGAUGAUUAUUACUUCCAAUAAAAUUGUAAUUUGAUUCAAUUCAA